AUGGACAUCAAUAGAGCACCCGGCCCCGAUAAUAUUCCUGCAGAGUUCUAUCAACAUUGUUGGGACAUUGUCAAAAAUGACAUUAUGAUGAUUUUUGAGCACUUCCAUGAUGGGACGCUUGACGUGCAGCGUCUAAAUUAUGGGAUUAUCACUCUUCCUAAAGUGUCGGGCGUCGAGCGCAUCCAACAGUUCCGACCUAUCUGCCUCCUAAGAUGUCCCUAUAAGCUGCUUACUAAAGCUAUGGAUCGGACAGUUGAAAAAUAUGCUGAUAAACUGAUCAGUCUCUCGCAAAACGCGUUUGUGAAAGGUAGGAACAUAAUGGAUGGGAUCAUGACGCUUCAUGAGCUCCUUAAUUACACUCAUGUUAAAAAGAGAACUGCAGUUGUGCUCAAAUUGGAUUUUGAAAAUGCAUACGAUAAAGUUAACUGGGGAUUUCUUCUGGAAUGUCACAAGUUGAGGGGUUUCAAUGAAACCUAG
rnacentral:rRNA from 1 species